UCGGGUAUGGUGUAACGGCUAACAUUGCCGCCUCUCAUAUCUUAGUGCGCGGCAGCUCGGGGUUCGAUUCCCCGUACCCGAA